GGCGGACGGGUGAGUAACGCGUAGGAAUCUGCCUAGUAGUGGGGGACAACAUGUGAAAACGCAUGCUAAUACCGCAUACGCCCUACGGGGGAAAGGAGGGGAUCUUCGGACCUUUCGCUAUUAGAUGAGCCUGCGUGAGAUUAGCUAGUUGGUGAGGUAAAGGCUCACCAAGGCGACGAUCUCUAGCUGGUCUGAGAGGAUGAUCAGCCACACUGGGACUGAGACACGGCCCAGACUCCUACGGGAGGCAGCAGUGGGGAAUAUUGGACAAUGGGCGCAAGCCUGAUCCAGCCAUGCCGCGUGUGUGAAGAAGGCCUUAGGGUUGUAAAGCACUUUCAGGAGUGAGGAAGGGUGUACGGUUAAUACCCGUAUAUUUUGACGUUAGCUCCAGAAGAAGCACCGGCUAACUCUGUGCCAGCAGCCGCGGUAAUACAGAGGGUGCAAGCGUUAAUCGGAAUUACUGGGCGUAAAGCGCGC
rnacentral:rRNA from 1 species